rnacentral:rRNA from 1 species
UACGGAGGAUGCAAGCGUUAUCCGGAAUGAUUGGGCGUAAAGCGUCCGCAGGUGGCUAUGUAAGUCUGCUGUUAAAGAGUGAGGCUCAACCUCAUAAGAGCAGUGAAAACUACAUGGCUAGAGUGCGUUCGGGGCAGAGGGAAUUCCUGGUGUAGCGGUGAAAUGCGUAGAUAUCAGGAAGAACACCGGUGGCGAAAGCGCUCUGCUAGGCCGCAACUGACACUGAGGGACGAAAGCUAGGGGAGCGAAUGGG